ACGCGAAGAACCUUACCUGGUCUUGACAUCCACAGAACUUUCCAGAGAUGGAUUGGUGCCUUCGGGAACUGUGAGACAGGUGCUGCAUGGCUGUCGUCAGCUCGUGUUGUGAAAUGUUGGGUUAAGUCCCGCAACGAGCGCAACCCUUAUCCUUUGUUGCCAGCGAUUAGGUCGGGAACUCAAAGGAGACUGCCAGUGAUAAACUGGAGGAAGGUGGGGAUGACGUCAAGUCAUCAUGGCCCUUACGACCAGGGCUACACACGUGCUACAAUGGCGCAUACAAAGAGAAGCGACCUCGCGAGAGCAAGCGGACCUCAUAAAGUGCGUCGUAGUCCGGAUUGGAGUCUGCAACUCGACUCCAUGAAGUCGGAAUCGCUAGUAAUCGUGGAUCAGAAUGCCACGGUGAAUACGUUCCCGGGCCUUGUACACACCGCCCGUCACACCAUGGGAGUGGGUUGCAAAAGAAGUAGGUAGCUUAACCUUCGGGAGGGCGCUUACCACUUUGUGAUUCAUGACUGGGGUGAAGUCGUAACAAGGUAACCGUAGGGGAACCUGCGGUUGGAUCACCUCCUUACCUUAAAGAAGC
rnacentral:rRNA from 1 species